AUCGCUCGCCUUACCUUGCAGGAGGAGGAAGAGGAUGAUUUUGUUUGGGAGGAGGAACUCCCGGACUUGAUGGAACCGGCGCAAUGGCUGGCGAUCGCUAGGGUGCACACAUCAAAAACUUUUAUCCCUAAUGCACUCUAUGGCGAUAUGAGGGCAGCCUGGAACCCGGCAAAGGCGGUAGUCUGGAGGAAGAUCAGGGAGAACCUAUUUACAGCGCAGUUUGGGUGCCUUGCGGAUUGGAAG
rnacentral:rRNA from 1 species